rnacentral:tRNA from 1 species
GGAAGUGCUUGUACGCCUGGUGGCGGCCUCAGUCUUCAAAACUGCUGGGCCUUGCGUUAACCGUUGGGCCGGUGGGUUCGAUUCCCAUGCACUUCCGCCA